rnacentral:misc_RNA from 1 species
GAUGAAGAACGCAGCGAAAUGCGAUAAGUAGUGUGAAUUGCAGAAUUCAGUGAAUCAUCGAAUCUUUGAACGCACAUUGCGCCCCUUGGUAUUCCAUGGGGCAUGCCUGUUCGAGCGUCAUUUGUACCUUCAAGCUUUGCUUGGUGUUGGGUGUUUGUCCUGAGGGACUCGCCUUAAAGUAAUUGGCAGCCAGUGUUUGGUUUUGAAGCGCAGCACAAGUCGCGAUUCAAAGCUAUACGCCCGCUUCCACAAGCCUUUUUCACUUUUGACCUCGUAUCAGGUAGGGAUACCCGCUGAACUUAAGCAUAUCAAUAAGCGGAGGA